GAACCGGUGAAAGGGGUAUGUGCCACCCAUC
rnacentral:sRNA from 1 species